CCUACGGGUGACAGCAGUGGGGAAUAUUGGGCAAUGGGCGCAAGCCUGACCCAGCAACGCCGCGUGAAGGAAGAAGGCUCUCGGGUUGUAAACUUCUUUUAUCAGGGACGAAGCAAGUGACGGUACCUGAUGAAUAAGCCACGGCUAACUACGUGCCAGCAGCCGCGGUAAUACGUAGGUGGCAAGCGUUAUCCGGAUUUACUGGGUGUAAAGGGCGUGCAGCCGGAGAGACAAGUCAGAUGUGAAAUCCACGGGCUCAACCCGUGAACUGCAUUUGAAACUGUUUCCCUUGAGUGUCGGAGAGGUAAUCGGAAUUCCUAGUGUAGCGGUGAAAUGCGUAGAUAUUAGGAAGAACACCAGUGGCGAAGGCGGAUUACUGGACGAUAACUGACGGUGAGGCGCGAAAGCGUGGGGAGCAAACAGGAUUAGAUACCCUUGUAGUC
rnacentral:rRNA from 1 species